GCACUGCUGAGGAGUCCCAUAAAAAAAGACGAAACGGCCGUCCAGUGC
rnacentral:hammerhead_ribozyme from 1 species